rnacentral:rRNA from 1 species
GACGAACGCUGGCGGCGUGCUUAACACAUGCAAGUCGAACGGAAAGGCCCUGCUUUUGUGGGGUGCUCGAGUGGCGAACGGGUGAGUAACACGUGAGUAACCUGCCCUUGACUUUGGGAUAACUUCAGGAAACUGGGGCUAAUACCGGAUAGGAGCUCCUGCUGCAUGGUGGGGGUUGGAAAGUUUCGGCGGUUGGGGAUGGACUCGCGGCUUAUCAGCUUGUUGGUGGGGUAGUGGCUUACCAAGGCUUUGACGGGUAGCCGGCCUGAGAGGGUGACCGGCAUGGUUGCGCGUGGACGACGGGCAGGACGCUGGCGGGAGGGAGGGGGGGGUAGGACUGAGCGCGGGGGGGAGGCUGGAUGCAGGACGGCGGGGGGCGGGAGGACGGCCGGCGGGUGGAAGGCGGCUUUGGGCUGGGACGAGGGGGGAGGGAGGGUAAUGGGAAAGGAAGCACGGACUAACUAGGUGCCGCAGGCGAAUAAAUAAGAGAAUAGAACACGCCUGAAC